GUUAUCUCUACUUUAGAUCGUGUCGGAGUGUGUGAGUCAGCAUUCACACUCACACACUAAACAUAUUUAACACACGGGGGAUCUGUGAGAGUGUGUGUGUGUGUGUGUGUGUGUGUGUAUGUGUCGGUCGGAUAGAAACACACACACACACUGAGUGAGUCUGGUGACAUUUCUUACACAAGGUCCAUACAGAGCAUUAAAAAAAUAAAUAAAAAAAAGGAAAGUGUUCAGGCGGAACAAAGGGUCAGAAUGGGGGGGGGGGGCCUAAACUGUGUCACCGUGGCAACCCAGUGGCCAUGAAGCACUACAGCAUAAACAUGUAGGAAAAUUACUGUUCGUUCUCCUCUCUCUUUCUCUCUCUCUCUCGGUUUUUCUCCUGGACGAGCAGCAAGUCAUUCCUCGUGUUUCAGUAAUAUAUAAAAAUAUAACGAUGAUUAAAAUCCACACACGACGGGCUGAGUGGUGUCGUGCAGUUACAGCCGAUGUUGUUCUCCCUUGCAGCUCUAAACAAACGGUUUAGCUGUUACUAUGGCGACGGUAACGUAUUGGAACGAGCGCAUUAAUAUAAACCGGUGAUUUAUAGUGGCGCUACUGCUGUUAACCCGACAGGAACCCGACAGGAACCGGCCUGGGCCGUGCGGAACAUGGGCAGGAGGUCAGGAUGACAGGAAGUGUGACUCAGGAUCUUAAGCACGACACUGCCGCUGGCCUCCUUUAGCAUGUCCUGCAGCACUUUGGGGUCGCUGCCCACCUCCUUCCCGUUGACCUCUUUGAUGAUGUCACCGAC